UACGUAGGGCGCAAGCGUUGUCCGGAUUUAUUGGGCGUAAAGAGCUCGUAGGCGGUUUGUCGCGUCUUCCGUGAAAACUGGGGGCUUAACUUCCAGCUUGCGGUGGAUACGGGCUGACUGGAGUUCGGCAGGGGAGACUGGAAUUCCUGGUGUAGCGGUGAAAUGCGCAGAUAUCAGGAGGAACACCAAUAGCGAAGGCAGCUCGCUGGGACGUUACUGACACUGAGGCGCGAAAGCGUGGGGAGCGAACAGG
rnacentral:rRNA from 1 species